rnacentral:rRNA from 1 species
UCAAGUUAUUAAGGGUGCAGGGCGGAUGCCUUGGCACUAGGAGCCGAUGAAGGACGUGAUAAGCUGCGAUAAGCUUCGGGGAGUUGCACGUAAACUUUGAUCCGAAGAUUUCCGAAUGAGGAAACUCACUUAGAGUAAUGUCUAAGUAUCGUUAAGUGAAUACAUAGCUUAGCGAGGGGAACCCGGGGAACUGAAACAUCUAAGUACCCGGAGGAAGAGAAAGAAAUUCGAUUCCGUAAGUAGCGGCGAGCGAACGCGGAACAGGCCAAACCAAUGAAGUUUACUUCGUUGGGGUUGCGGACAUACAACAUGGAUGCAAUAUCGUAAAUGAAGAGAGUUGGAAAGCUCCGCCAUAGAAGGUAAUAGCCCUGUAGUUGAAACGAGAAAGCUACUAGUAUGAUCCAGAGUACCACGGGACACGUGAAACCCUGUGGGAAGCAGGAGGGACCAUCCUCCAAGCCUAAAUACUACCUAGUGACCGAUAGCGCAUAGUACCGUGAGGGAAAGGUGAAAAGAACCCCGGGAGGGGAGUGAAAUAGAACCUGAAACCCUGCACUUACAAGCUGUGGGAGCACAUUACUUGUGUGACCGCGUACUUUUUGUAGAACGGGCCAACGAGUUACGUUAAGUAGCAAGGUUAAGCACUUAAGGUGUGGAGCCGUAGCGAAAGCGAGUCUUAAAUGGGCGAUUAAGUUACUUGGCGUAGACCCGAAACCGGGCGACCUAUCCAUGAGCAGGUUGAAGCGAAAGUAAAAUUUCGUGGAGGACCGAACCCACGAGCGUUGAAAAGCUCGGGGAUGACUUGUGGAUAGCGGUGAAAUUCCAAUCGAGCCCGGAGAUAGCUGGUUCUCCCCGAAAUAGCUUUAGGGCUAGCCUCAAGCGUAGAGAAACGGAGGUAGAGCACUGAAUGUCCUAGGGGGUAUUGCACUUACCGAAGACUAUCAAACUCCGAAUGCCGUUUUCUUUUACUUGGGAGUCAGACUGUGGGUGAUAAGAUUCAUAGUCAAAAGGGCAACAGCCCAGAUCGUCAGCUAAGGUCCCUAAAUGUACGUUAAGUGGUAAAGGAUGUGGGAUUGCACAGACAACCAGGAUGUUGGCUUAGAAGCAGCCACUCAUUUAAAGAGUGCGUAAUAGCUCACUGGUCGAGUGAUCCUGCGCCGAAAAUUUCCGGGGCUAAAACGUACUACCGAAGCUACGGCAUCAUUUAUGAUGGGUAGGGGAGCUUCGUAUGCAGGCUGAAGCAUGACCGUAAGGACAUGUGGACAGUAUACGAGUGAGAAUGUUGGCAUGAGUAGCGAGACGUGGGUGAGAAUCCCACGGGCCGUAAACCCAAGGUUUCCAGGGGAAGGUUCGUCCGCCCUGGGUUAGUCGGGACCUAAGCCGAGGCCGAAAGGCGUAGGUGAUGGACAACAGGUUGAUAUUCCUGUACCGCCAAUAAGCGUUUGAGAGAUGGAGUGACACAGUAGGAUAAGCUAACCGUACUGUUGGUUAUGUACGGCUAAGCAUUGAGGCAGUCUAAAUAGGCAAAUCCGUUUAGACAAUGCUAGGAUGUGAUGGGGAAGCCCUUCGGGGCGAAGUAGCUGAUUUCACACUGUCAAGAAAAGCUUCUAUCGAGUUUAAAGGCGCCCGUACCGUAAACCGACACAGGUGGGUGAGGAGAGUAUCCUAAGGCCAGCGAGAGAACUAUUGUUAAGGAACUCGGCAAAAUGACCCCGUAACUUAGGGAGAAGGGGUGCCUGUCUAUGACAGGCCGCAGAGAAUAGGCCCAAGCGACUGUUUACCAAAAACACAGGUUUCUGCUAAGUCGCAAGACGAUGUAUAGGAGCUGACGCCUGCCCGGUGCUGGAAGGUUAAGGGGAUCUGUUAGAGCAAUCGAAGCAGUGAACUUAAGCCCCAGUAAACGGCGGCCGUAACUAUAACGGUCCUAAGGUAGCGAAAUUCCUUGUCGGGUAAGUUCC